rnacentral:misc_RNA from 1 species
GACGAAGGUGGCAAGCGUUACUCGGAAUUACUAGGCGUAAAGCGUGGGUAGGUGGUUCGGCAAGUCUGUUGUGAAAGCUCCCGGCUCAACUGGGAGAGGUCAAUGGAUACUACCGGACUUGAAUGUGGGAGAGGUCACUGGAAUUCCUGGUGUAGCGGUGAAAUGCGUAGAGAUCAGGAGGAACACCGAUGGCGAAAGCAGGUGACUGGACCACUAUUGACACUGAGCCACGAAAGCUAGGGGAGCAAACAGG